rnacentral:misc_RNA from 1 species
AAACAAUCAAUUUCAAGCAUCCAUUGCAAGGAACGUGACUACUUUGAAUGGGGAUACUAUCGGUGACGCCAACAACAAUGCACAAUGUAGCGUUCCAUGCCAAGCCGCUACCUUGCCAACAAAUGGAAGUGAAGGCAUAACCGAACAAGGAAAUGAGGUGGAGCAUACACAAGAGAAGCCAAGGGUCAUUUCCAAUGGUAAUUAUGAUGAUGAUGAUGAGGCUGUCAUAUUCGGAGAAGAUGAUGACGACGACGAGGGAUACGUAUUCGCUGGCCAAUGUACUUAUGUCAAUUUUUAUUAUGAUUAUGAUACCAAG